CCAAUUCCUGUCUCGUCCAUCACCACAUUGAAGACGGUUGGUCAGCCAGAGAGAGAUGGAGAGUGAGAUCUGGAUCCUUCAGUGAAUCCUGCAGCCGGUACUCAGGAAGUUCCUGACUCAAUAGACUUCCCAACUGCUGUGUGUCUCAUCCAUCACCUUAUUGUAGAUGGUUGGUCAGCCAGAGAGACAAAGGGCAGAGAGAUCUGGAACCUUCAAUAAAUCCUGCAGUGAGGUAAUCAGGAUGUUCCUCACUCGUGUCUCAUCCAUCACCUCAUUGAAGCUGGUUGGUCAACCCAAGUGAGAGAGGUGGA